GUUGUAAAGUGGCAAACGGGUGAGUAACACAUGGGUAAUCUACCCUUGGGUGGGGAAUAACUUCUCGAAAGGGGAGCUAACGCCGACAAUACGUAGCGGUCUCGAUAGGGGACCUCUAGAAAGCCGUACCGAGGGUGCGGCGCCCGAGGAUGAGCUCAUGCCCUAUCAGCUUGUUGGCGGGGUAAUGGCCCACCAAGGCUACGACGGGUAGCUGGUCUGAGAGGACGACCAGCCACACUGGCACUGCGACACGGGCCAGACUCCUACGGGAGGCAGCAGUGAGGAAUAUUGCGCAAUGGGCGAAAGCCUGACGCAGCGACGCCGCGUGGGGGAUGAAGGCCUUCGGGUUGUAAACCCCUUUCGGGAGGGAAGAUGGGACGGGCAACCGUUCGGACGGUACCUCCAGAAGCAGCCACGGCUAACUCUGUGCCAGCAGCCGCGGUAAGACAGAGGUGGCAAGCGUUGUUCGGAUUUACUGGGCGUAAAGGGUGCGUAGGUGGUUAGGUAAGACCUGUGGGAAAGACCUGGGCUUAACCCAGGAAGGUCGCAGGUGACUGCUUAGCUAGAGGGCGGGAGAGGAGAGCGGAAUUCCCGGUGUAGCGGUGAAAUGCGUAGAGAUCGGGAGGAAGGCCGGUGGCGAAGGCGGCUCUCUGGAACGUUCCUGACACUGAGGCACGAAAGCGUGGGGAGCAAACAGGAUUAGAUACCCUGGUAGUCCACGCCCUAAACGAUGGGUACUAAGUGUCGGCGGGUUACCGCCGGUGCCGCACCUAACGGAGUAAGUACCCCGCCUGGGGAGUACGGCCGCAAGGUUGAAACUCAAAAGGAAUUGACGGGGGGCCCGCACAAGCGGUGGUGCAUGUGGUUCAAUUCGACGCAACGCGAAAGAACCUUACCCAGGCUUGACAUGCUAAUUGUUAAGAACCGGAAACGGGGGAUGACCUCC
rnacentral:rRNA from 1 species